rnacentral:lncRNA from 1 species
UCAAUCUCAAGCUUCAAUUCUCCAUUCCAAUCUUCAUCAAGGAUUCUCCAAAGUUGAGGUAUGUGGGUUUGAUUGUGGAAACCUUCCUUUCCACAAGUCCAACCAUUUAUCCUCUAUUUUACUUCAAGUUUAUGGGUCCUUAUGGUUAUUUAUGAACUCUUGAAGUAUGGAAUUACUACUACACACCCUAUUAUGGUCUAUUUUGCAUAUUAUCAUGAAAUGGAAUUAUUAUGUGAUGCUUAUGGUUUUCAUGCUUCCAUGAUCAAAUUAUGAAGGUUGAUAUAUAUAUAUAUGUAUGUUGUUGGUGGGCUGAUUUAUACGUAUUUCGGAAUUGGUUGGACUUAGUACUCUUGAAAGACAUGAUUUUAUCUACAUGAACAAUAGCCCACCAUGUGUUUGAUAAAAUGUCAUUUAUAGAAUUCUUAUGAAAUGGAAGGUCCAAUGUACGUCCUAUGAGUCGGAUGAUUAUAUAAGUAUUGAAAUGAUGAUGAAAUGGAUACAUGUAUAUGAUUUUCUCUAUAUAGUGUGUGAGUCGACCAAGCCUAGCUCGGGGGGUUGUAGGCCCGGGUAACCGUAUCGAGGGGUUGGUACCUUGGUUGCCUAGUACGGGGGGUAGUAGGCCCGUAUAACCGUAUCGAGGGGUUGGUACCUUGGUUGCCUAGUACGGGGGGUAGUAGGCCCGUAUAACCGUAUCGAGGGGUUGGUACCUUGGUUGCCUAGUACGGGGGGUAGUAGGCCCGUAUAACCGUAUCGAGGGGUUGGUACCUUGGUUGCCUAGUACGGGGGGUAGUAGGCCCGUAUAACCGUAUCGAGGGGUUGGUACCUUGGUUGCCUAGUACGGGGGGUAGUAGGCCCGUAUAACCGUAUCGAGGGGUUGGUACCUUGGUUGCCUAGUACGGGGGGUAGUAGGCCCGUAUAACCAUAUCGAGGGGUUUGUACCUUGGUCCCUAGCUCGGGGGGUGGUAGGCCCGGGUAACCACAUUGAGGGGUUUGUACCUCUUUCGCCUCUCCAAGGGGGUGGUAGGCCUUGGAAAUACUAUAUUGAUGGUCUCUCACCACACUUGUGCUACGUCCCACUAAAUAUGAUUUUUAUGUAAGCAUCAUUAUACAUAUCAUCUCAUUAAUAUGCUAUCUAUCGGGUACGAUUAUGCAUUUUGCCUAUGAUGUCCAUCCCUUGUUGUAUUGCAUUGCAUCCCAUAUACUUAGUACAUUCAAAUGUACUAACGCAUACUCUAUGCCUACAUGAUGUCACCAUGUAGGGACCGGAGCACCGCUUGACCAUCCUCCUCCGCGUGGUUAAUACGAUUUCCUAUCAAGGUUAUUGGUGAGUCCUCCAUUCCGGGGACGUUGCUUAUGAUCUUUUGCUAUGUAUAAGACUUUUUCCUUUUUAGUUAUGUUUUGACUAUGAGGGUGAGCCCGGUAGUUUGUCUUGGCCCCCGCUAAGUAC